CCUACGGGUGGCAGCAGUGGGGAAUAUUGCGCAAUGGGCGAAAGCCUGACGCAGCGACGCCGCGUGAGGGAUGAAGGUCUUCGGAUCAUAAACCUCUGUCAGCAGGGAAGAACGGUCACUGUGCUAAUCAGCAGUGAAUUGACGGUACCUGCAAAGGAAGCACCGGCUAACUCCGUGCCAGCAGCCGCGGUAAUACGGAGGGUGCGAGCGUUAAUCGGAAUUACUGGGCGUAAAGCGCUCGUAGGCGGUAUGUCAAGUCAAGGGUGAAAUCCCCGCGCUCAACGUGGGAACUGCCUUUGAACCGGGCAAACGGGAGUGUGUGAGAGGAUGGGGGAAUUCCAGGUGAAGGAGUGA
rnacentral:rRNA from 1 species